GAGCGCAAGCGUGUGCGGGCGAAAGCAUGGCACGUCAAAAGAACGACGCAGAAUCGCGGUCGAAAAAGAGCGGAGCUGUGUACUAUUGCGUGUACGGCUGCCACAACAGCUACAGAAACACCGCCGCGGUAAGCUCCCAAAGAUAAACUUUUAUGGAUUUCCUGGGAAGUCUUACCAGAAGGAGCGACGGCAGCGCAUGGACCCGGGCCGUGCGACGGGCGAGCCCCGAAGCGGGCCUUUGGCAGCCUGUGAAGAACCAAACCAAACAAAGCCAGGGUGAGUUUACACCAUCUUCGUCAUCCAGCCUUACAUGUGCCUCCCACAAUGUGCCUUGGGUGUGAAGACAACUGUGUUAUAAAAACGAAAGAAGGAGAGGGAACGAAAUAAUGAUCGCUUUGCUUACACGAA